UCCGGUUUGGCACCGGCAGUCCUCCCAGAGUCCUCGGCUCUACCCGGUAGCAACUGGGAGCGGGGGUUGCGCUCGUUGCGGGACUUAACCCAACAUCUCACGACACGAGUUGACGACAGCCAUGCAGCACCUGUGUGGACGCCAGCCGAACUGAAGGACCUCAUCUCUGAAGCCCAUACGUCCCAUGUCAAGGGUUGGUAAGGUUCUGCGCGUUGCUUCGAAUUAAACCACAUGCUCCACCGCUUGUGCGGGCCCCCGUCAAUUCCUUUGAGUUUCAGCCUUGCGGCCGUAGUCCCCAGGCGGGGUGCUUACUGCGUUAGCUGCGGCACCGACGACGUGGAAUGUCGCCAACACCUAGUUCCCAACGUUUACGGCGUGGACUAC
rnacentral:misc_RNA from 1 species